rnacentral:rRNA from 1 species
UACGUAGGGUGCGAGCGUUCGUCCGGAAUUACCUGGGCGUAAAGAGCUCGUAGGUGGUUUGUCGCGUCGUCUGUGAAAUCCCGGGGCUUAACUUCGGGCGUGCAGGCGAUACGGGCAUAACUUGAGUGCUGUAGGGGAGACUGGAAUUCCUGGUGUAGCGGUGAAAUGCGCAGAUAUCAGGAGGAACACCGAUGGCGAAGGCAGGUCUCUGGGCAGUUACUGACGCUGAGGAGCGAAAGCAUGGGUAGCGAACAGGAUUAGAUA